CCUACGGGAGGCAGCAGUGAGGAAUAUUGGUCAAUGGACGCAAGUCUGAACCAGCAAUGCCGCGUGCAGGAAGACGGCUCUAUGAGUUGUAAACUGCUUUUGUACGAGGGUAAACGCAGAUACGCGUAUCUGUCUGCAAGUAUCGUACGAAUAAGGAUCGGCUAACUCCGUGCCAGCAGCCGCGGUAAUACGGAGGAUUCAAGCGUUAUCCGGAUUUAUUGGGUUUAAAGGGUGCGUAGGCGGUCGGAUAAGUUAGAGGUGAAAUCCCGAGGCUCAACUUCGGAAUUGCCUCUGAAACUGUUCGGCUAGAGAGUAGUUGCGGUAGGCGGAAUGUAUGGUGUAGCGGUGAAAUGCUUAGAGAUCAUACAGAACACCGAUUGCGAAGGCAGCUUACCAAGCUACUUCUGACGUUGAGGCACGAAAGCGUGGGGAGCAAACAGGAUUAGAUACCCCAGUAGUC
rnacentral:rRNA from 1 species